rnacentral:ncRNA from 1 species
CACCGCCCGUCGCUCCUACCAAUUGAAUAAUCCGGUGAAUUGUUCGGAUCGCGGCGACGUGGGCGGUUCAAUGCCCACGACUUCGCGAGAAGUCUAUUGAACCUUAUCAUAUAUAGGAAGGAGAAGUCGUAACAAGGUUUCCGUAGGUGAACAUGCGGAAC